rnacentral:rRNA from 1 species
GAGUUUGAUUCUGGCUCAGGACGAACGCUGGCGGCGUGCGUAACACAUGCAAGUUGGACGACGGUGCCAUGAAGUGGUAACACGGAAUGGCAUGCGGAGUAGCGGACGGGUGAGUACAACAUGAGAAGCUGUCCAAUAGUGGGGGAUAACGUUCGGAAACGGACCCUAAUACCCCAUAGGCCUUUUGGUUAAAGCAGCGAUGCGCUAUUGGAGGUGCUCGUGUCCUAUCAGCUGGUUGGUGAGGUAACGGCUCACCAAGGCGACGACGGGUAGCCGGCCUGAGAGGGUGUCCGGCCACACUGGAACUGAGAUACGGUCCAGACUCCUACGGGAGGCAGCAGUGGGGAAUAUUGGGCAAUGGGAGAAUCCUGACCCAGCGACGCCGCGUGAACGAAGAAGGCCUUCGGGUCGUAAAGUUCUUUUAUGUGGGAAGAAGGAAGUGA